rnacentral:lncRNA from 1 species
AAAAAGAAAAAAUGAAAAUAAUACCAAGUAGUACUCCACCAAUGGUUAAAGGAGUUUUUUUUUUAAUUUUUAAAAAAUGACUUUAAAAUAAAAAUAAAUGAUUUACUGGGUCGCUGGUAAAAAAAUUAAAUAAUUUUGUUCUUACUAUUUAAAUAAUAAAUAAAUAAAAAAAUACAAAUAUGAAUAAAAUAAAAUUGACAACAUAGAUAAUUCUAAAUAAUUCCUCAUAUUAUUUUGGCGAAAGGUAAAGAAUAAUCGGAUAAAAAAGGAAUAAAAAUUGGGCAUAAAAAAAUAUCAAAAAAAUAAAAUAAAGUGACAGCAUAAAAAUGAUCAGCGCAAAAUAAACUUCUCGGAAACAUACAGGUUUUGAUCAAAAUUUAAAAUAAAAAUUGAUCGAUUAAAAAGGCUCAAGCGGGCAUAAAAAUUGCGACUGAAAGGUAGUCGAAUAAAAUAAAAUGAGCAUGCCAGGUUGAACUACGCGACCCAUAGAUCAAUAAAACUGACGUCUGAAAGCUCAAUUUUCGGCCACUAAUUCGAC